UACGGGGGGGGCAAGCGUUGUUCGGAAUUACUGGGCGUAAAGGGCUCGUAGGCGGCCAACUAAGUCAUACGUGAAAUCCCUCGGCUUAACCGGGGAACUGCGUCUGAUACUGGAUGGCUUGAGUUCGGGAGAGGGAUGCGGAAUUCCAGGUGUAGCGGUGAAAUGCGUAGAUAUCAGGAGGAACACCGGUGGCGAAGGCGGAUCUCUGGGCCAUUACUGACGCUGAGGAGCGAAAGCGUGGGGAGCGAGCAGG
rnacentral:rRNA from 1 species